AUACUAAGCCAUGCGAGUCUUUGCAGUAAUGCAAGGCGGACUGCUCAGUAACACGUAGUCAACUUAACCUAUGGAUGGGUAUAACCUCGGGAAACUGAGAAUAAUUCCCAAUAGAUCAUUUAUCCUGGAAUGGUUAGUGAUUGAAAUGAUUCGUCGCCAUAGGAUAGGACUGCGGCCUAUCAGCUUGUUGGUGAGGUAAAGGCCCACCAAGGCUAUUACAGGUACGGGCUCUGAGAGAAGAAGCCCGGAGAUGGGUACUGAGACACGGACCCAGGCCCUAUGGGGCGCAGCAGGCGAGAAAACUUUGCAAUGUGCGAAAGCACGACAAGGUUAACCCGAGUGAUUUCUGCUAAAGAAAUCUUUUGCCAGUUCUAAAAAUACUGGUGAAUAAGGGGUGGGCAAGUUCUGGUGCCAGCAGCCGCGGUAAU
rnacentral:rRNA from 1 species